AUUGAACGCUGGCGGCAGGCCUAACACAUGCAAGUCGAGCGGAUGAAGGGAGCUUGCUCCUGGAUUCAGCGGCGGACGGGUGAGUAAUGCCUAGGAAUCUGCCUGGUAGUGGGGGAUAACGUCCGGAAACGGGCGCUAAUACCGCAUACGUCCUGAGGGAGAAAGUGGGGGAUCUUCGGACCUCACGCUAUCAGAUGAGCCUAGGUCGGAUUAGCUAGUUGGUGGGGUAAAGGCCUACCAAGGCGACGAUCCGUAACUGGUCUGAGAGGAUGAUCAGUCACACUGGAACUGAGUCACAGUCCAGACUCCUACGGGAGGCAGCAGUGGGGAAUAUUGGACAAUGGGCGAAAGCCUGAUCCAGCCAUGCCGCGUGUGUGAAGAAGGUCUUCGGAUUGUAAAGCACUUUAAGUUGGGAGGAAGGGCAGUAAGUUAAUACCUUGCUGUUUUGACGUUACCAACAGAAUAAGCACCGGCUAACUUCGUG
rnacentral:rRNA from 1 species